GGGGUCAUAGCUCAUUUGGUAGAGCGCCUGCUUUGCACGCAGGAUGUGAGGGGUUCGAGUCCCCUUGACUCCA
rnacentral:tRNA from 1 species